AAAGCUUCAAGCUGAGAAUGGUUCUUCCAAAUCUAUUUUGAUUGUCCUGAAAACCAAAACCGACGAUUUACAUAGAUCAUAAUACAUCAUACGUGGCUAGUCAUGCCCGAGAACUGGCAAGUGAAGUGCAAAUGCUCAAAAUGACUAGUCGAAUCGUUACAUAAAGGAAUCUAUAAUUUUCCACCUACGCAAGAACAAAGCUAGUAAAUUAAAUCCUAUUCUCGCCAGCUUGUAUUGAAAAGCUAAUUACAAGAAAAAGGACAACCUAAUUUGGCUAAGUUAUGCUAAAAUAGUCAACAAUUCAUUAUGGUCUAAAUUCAAACUCAAGAUAACAAUGGUAGCAAUUUUAUCUAUAACAGAGUUUUCUAUCAAACACAACAACCAAACCAUCAUUUAGCAUGCUCUAAACAGUUUUCUAUCAAGAAAUAGAAAAGGUUUUGCUGCUAACCUUGUAAGAAACAUACUGGCAGCAAAUUAUAAUCUUAAAAUAAAUAAACCAACGAAUACAAAGGACCUUUGAUGGAACGUAUUGUCCAUAUAUGAUUUAUCAGUUCAUUUAUUACGAUCUACCAAAUAAUAGAUGUAAAAAUCAUUUUAGAGCAGCAUUAGCCAGUUAAUUAGCUUUUUCUUCAAGUUUUAUACACUUUGUAUGCAUAUGCAUCAUACAUACACAUCACACAAUAGAGAACACAUCAGUACAUAGCACCAAUAUUUAACCUUAAUAUAGAAAUAGAUGAAAAUUGACCUCAAAUAUUUCCUCUACGAGUCCAUAAGACAAAUAUGGCAACGGUUUGAGCUUUAAGGGAUUAAUGGAGGAUUUUGGAGUGUUCCUCGGCAAAAAUGGCAACGGUUUGAGCUGCGGUUUUCACGUUGUUUAGAGAUGGUUUUACAGCUUUCUCGAGGCUGUGUUGUUGCAUUUUUUAGCUAGAAAUUCUAGCUAGUUUUUGGUGAUAUUUGGGCGAUUUGAAGGAAGGUUUAGAGGUGGUUCCGGAAAUAGCUGAUCGUGGUUGUUUGGGCUGCUUCUCAGUUGGGAUUUUUUGUGCUUUUUUUGGGGUAGUUAGGAUGGCAGCUCAUAGAAGAUGAUGGGCGUGGCUGAAGUUUUUAGAAUGGAGUCCGUGAGAGCUGCUGGUUCUCUUUUUAGUUGAAGAAAGGUAGAAACAGCUGUACAUGGGGGGGUUCUCUAGGGUUCG
rnacentral:lncRNA from 1 species